rnacentral:rRNA from 1 species
UAGAAAUUAAAUAAAAAUUAAGCACAACAAAGCAGAGACUCCCCUCGUACCUUUUGCAUCAUGGUUUAGCUAGUCAAACCAAGCACAAAGAAUUUUAGUUUGACCUCCCGAAACUAGGUGAGCUACUUCAAAACAGCCUAUCAAGGGCCAACCCGUCUCUGUUGCAAAAGAGUGGGAAGAUUUUCAAGUAGAGGUGACAGACCUACCGAACCUAGAGAUAGCUGGUUAUUUAGGAAAAGGAUUUUAGUCCUACCUUAAGUUCUUCCUUUAUUAAUAAAACAACUCCGAACUUAAGAGCUAUUCAAACAAGGUACAGCCUGUUUGAAACAGGGAACAACCUCAAAAAUAGGGUAACUCCAAAUGACAGGUGUCCAAGUGGGCCUAAAAGCAGCCAACUUUAAAAAAGCGUUACAGCUUCCUCACCAGUCACUUUAAUACCAAAAACACUUCAUAACCCUUACCCAGUACUAAAUAACUCUAUACCCCUAUAGAAAUUAUUAUGCUAAAACUAGUAACAUGAAGAAGCCCUUCUCCUAAAUGUACAUGUACGCCAAAAAGAACAAUUCAUUGGCAUUUAACGCUACUGACCCUAAAGCAACAACUAUACAAGAGAAUCUUGCUAACACCAACGUUAACCUAACACAAGAACAUUUCAGGAAAGAUUAAAAGAGGUGGAAGGAACUCGGCAAAUUUUAACCCCGCCUGUUUACC